AGUUGAAUAGUGCAAUGAUGUGUGGUCUAUCAAAAAGUAUUUCGCGAUAUAUCACGUGGUGAUUGCAUAAUCAGUAAAAAAAGCUUUCAUCAAUUCUCUUAAAGUUAAUGCUCGUGACCAUUGGAUAGGAUGGCUCCACAUACCUAGAGAGACCAUGUUGUGGGCACACAAGAAGGGGGCCAUGUGUGUUAUAAAAUGGUAUCAAAACUGGUUAGUCGUUUAUGUUCUGACCCGAGAAGGGAUUAGUAACAUGUGUGGGUGUGCAACGAAGCCGUCGUAAUCUAAUAAUGGAGGUGAAUUGUAUCUAUAAUAUGUUAAUUAAAGGUUGAGUAUCUUGGAAUCUGUUAAGUAAAUAGAAUUGCUUCAGUAAUAUGGAAUUGGUCAAGUAAUGAUAUGGUUACCAAAAACAUAUAAAGGAAUGCAACCUAUGUACACCAAUUUUUUUCUAUGCUGGAUUUUCGCCAAAACAUUUACUAGAUUGUUACUAAGAUAAGAUGACUGUUAUGAUCGAAAGAUAGAGAUUGACUUUUUAUGCCAAUUGUAGUUUGCUAUUGUUGUGAACCUCUGACACAAGGUACAUCUAAAUGAAAAUGAAACCAUUCCCAUGGCCGUGACGAAAAGAAAGAUAGUUGGAAGCAACUAGCAAGUCUGAAGUGACUCACCUAACACACAACAACACAUGUAACUAUAUAAAAAUUCUUUACUGAACAAAAAAUGUUCGUAACUGAUCGGAAUUUGUAUGUACCGAUCUAUUUUUGUAACAAAAUCUAUACAUAUUGAUUUAUGUUGUCACUUAAAAUGCUACAUUAUCCGUUUGAAAAGAACCACCACAUAAAAUUAUUUGUUUACAUCAUAGAAACAGUGAUAUACAUACACAAAGCUGUGACAUCGAGUCUCAAUUACAUUACACAUUUACGAUGGCUGUUCAAAAAGAUUGAAUUUGGAAGACACUUUUUGAGUUUGGUAUUUCACCCUAAGAUACUUUGCACUUGAGGCAACCUUAUUUGCUAGUCAAAGACAUUGAUGCCCUUAUAAUAAAGAAAACCAAACCAGACUUCUAUUAGCCUAAACCCAACCAUACCAACCCUACCCUAUACCCCCUGUUCGGGAACGCGCUAGGCGCUAGUCGGGCGGUCGGGUUGGGCCUAUCGCCUAAAGAGAAAAUCAGGGAUUAAUCGAAAAUUAUACGGGGCGAAAUUUUUAGACCGUUUACUAUGUUAUAAAACAUGUUAAUCUUUAAUUGUGUAUAACAUUAAUACAUUUUCAUGUUUAAAAUUGUAUAAAACACACAAAUAGAAUAUAUAAACUUAAUAUAGUGUAAUUUUCAUCAAAAUUAUGAAUAUAAAUGAUAUUUAUAAAAUUUUAGAUCAAAUAAAUAAAUAAAAAUAUUAUUAAAAAUAAUUAAAAAUUAAAAAAAAAUAGAUUAGGCGGCCGCCUAGGCGUUUAGGCGGCCGCCUAAGCGGCUAGGCGGUCAUUUAGGCGGUCUAGGCGGAGAAAACCGGAUAUCCGAUUUUUUUAACCGAUUUGGCAUCGAUCGGAGCGGAAGAGUGACGCGUAGCGCCCAGACGGCUAGACGGCCGAUUUUUAGAAAAGGGCCUAUACCAAGUUUGAAACCCUAAAUUCUCAUCUUUCCUCAUUUUAAAUCACACACUUUUUUGAGAGAGAGAGAGAAAAAAAAAAACUUUGUGCCACGUAAAUUAAGAACCCUAGUUCCUCUAUCAUUGGCCUCACCCUCUAAAUCUUCUUUCUUGAUUUUUCGUCACAAACCUCCAUCUCACACACCGUCUGGAUCUCACACUCGAGUAGAGCACACAAUCAUUUUUUCGCAAGCAGGACAAAAAGUUCCGAACAACCGCCUCUCAGUGAGGCUGUUUUCUGGUACCCAUGUGGGCGUCUUAACAUUUACUCUAAGCCUGACCUCUUACCUCUCGUGACACUGAGGAGUUUGAGACUAUCAAAGCAUCUUGUUUCGGGAAAAUGUUUGAUUUGAUGGGCAACAUGUGGACGGGAGAGUUGUGGGCUUGUGACCUGUGGAUGGGUGAGUUGUAGUCGGGUGACAUGUGGUCGGGUGAGCUGUGGACUGGUGAACUAUUGUAGUGUGAGCUGUGUACGGACGAGCUGUGGUCAGGUGAGUUGUAGACGGGUAAGCCAUGAAGGAGCGUGCUGGGGACGUAAUGUUGUGUGGCUGACCACAAGGGAGUGUUGUGUGGACGGAGAGUCAACUUCCACCCAUGUAGCUUUCGUACUCCCUGCUUACUACGCUCCACCCAUGCAACAAUCAGAAGUUUCAGUGAAGUUUCAAAAACUAUUUUGUGUUCUAUGUUCCAUAUGUUUUCUCUUUUUAACUUGGCGUUUCUGUAGGGCGUAAGACGCCCAUGUAAUUUUUUCCAGACAGUAAGCUCUUCAUUGUUUUUGAGAUCAAAGAAUCCGUCUGUAAUGUUAAUGCUAAGGUUUACGUUUAAAAAAAAAGUAGUUGUGUA